AUCCUUUAAAGAGUGCGUAAUAGCUCACUGGUCGAGUAGGCCUGCGCCGAAAAUGAACGGGGCUAAGUAAUUUGCCGAAGCUGUGGGAUAUUUAUAAUAUCGGUAGGGGAGCGUUCUGUUGUAGGUUGAAGCAUUAACGAAAGUAGAUGUGGACGACGCAGAAGUGAGAAUGUCGGCUUGAGUAGCGAAAACAUUGGUGAGAAUCCAAUGCCCCGAAAACCUAAGGUUUCCUUCGGAAGGCUCGUCCGCGGAGGGUAAGUCAGGACCUAAGGCGAGGCCGAGAGGCGUAGUCGAUGGAUAACGGGUUAAUAUUCCUGUACUCUUUUUUAUUGACAACGAAGGACGGAGAAGGCUAGAUUGGCCGGAUGUUGGUUACCGGUUUAAGCGUUCGAGGUGUUGAGAAACGGAGAAAACGUUUUGAGCUGAGACGUGAAUACGAGACGCUAAGGCGUCGAAGUAGUGUAUGUCAGACUUCCAAGAAAAGCUCGCACUGUCAUAGGUAAAAAAUGCCUGUACCAUAACCGACACAGGUGGGUAGGUAGAGUAUACUAAGGGGCGCGAGAUAACUCUCUCUAAGGAACUCGGCAAAAU
rnacentral:rRNA from 1 species